GGCCCUCUUUGACAUUUUGCUAAUAUGCAUUUGUUGGUUGCACUUUUACACUUUAAUUAAUCUUCUCCAAGCAUAUUGUAUACUCCUGAAAAAAUACAAAGAAACAUGGUAUAGAAUGAGGUCCAAGAAUGUUUGAAUAGAAGAAAUUUAAAGAGAUUGAAGAAUUAUUCAAAAUAUACUAGGAAGUUUGUGGUAAGAGGAUUAAUAAAAGAAAUAGAAGAAUUCUUAGAAUAAAAUGAGUGAGUUUGAAAGUAAUGAUGUUGUUCAUCAAGAAUAAACACGAUAGAAAGAAGAUAAAAUGAUAUUAUUGUUCAAGAAUAUAUUGGUUUCUUGGUUAAAGAAUGAGAUAAAUCUUAAAUAUGAUGAAAUAUGAACAAUAUUUGUUCAAGAACAAUAAUGUUCAAGAAUUAACAUCUUGGUUUCUUGGCCAAAGAAUGAGAAAAAUCUAGAAUAUAAAGAAACAUGAAAAAUACUUGUUAAAAAAUAACAAUACUAAAAAAUACCAUAUUGUUUUCUUGGCCAAAGAAUGAGAUGAAAUAUAAACAAUAUUUACCUCAAGAAUAAAUGAGAUGAAAUAUAAACAAUAUUUACCUCAAGAAUAUCAAGCAGAACAUGAUCAAAUAUGAUCAUUUUUUGUUCAAGAAUAAUAUGAGAAGAAUAUGAUGAAAUAUACAUGAGAUUUGCUCAAGAAUAUGAAGAUGAUAAAAGAGAAAGAUAAAGAUAGGAAGUAACCAAGAAAGGCAAUGACAGUUACUUAAACAACAAGGACUAUAAAGAUUUUACUGCCAAUCCCAAUCCCAUCAAAAUCGUACACUUGUAGGCUGAAAACAAAUCAUUGGAUGAUGAAUGUUGAACUUGUAAUCCUUUGAGUCCAUGCCCACCUAACCUUCUUUGCCAAAGAUUUCAUUCCUCUAACUUGUGCAUUUUCUUGAUCACGGGCAAAGGAGGAUCCAUAUUUCUAAGUUGAGAUGGUAAGUAGCAGCAUUUAGGAUGCAGAAGCUGAAGCCAUGAAAGACAUAAUUAUUACUUUGAUAUCAUAUUAGAAAUUAAUGAACUAGAAAGGAAUUCUAUAAAUAGAUUGAAUUGAUAAAUAGUGGCAGAUUUUAUUUUCCCACAUGGGUUCAUUAUAUGUGUGUCAUAAGUGAUCUGUUCUCAUUGUGAAAAUGAUGAUAUCCUUCUAAGUAACAAAGGUCCCCAACAUACGGAGCUUUUCGUUUCGAUGCAGUCAAAGGCCACCCUUAACUGGGUAAUCAUAAAGGUUAUACUUGAACAUAUAAUAAGCCAUGUAGAGGGAUUUGAUUGAUAUAGAUGUAAUUUGGCUCUCCUAUGUAACAAGAGAUAUCAUUAGGCUCCUCCAUUG
rnacentral:lncRNA from 1 species